GUGGACGUAGCCAAGUGGACCAAGGUAGUGGAUUGCGAAUCCACCACACCUGGGUUCAAUUCCCCCUCGUUCAC
rfam:Picea glauca, whole genome shotgun sequence.